rnacentral:tRNA from 1 species
GGAGAGGUACGCAAGUGGUUGAAGCGGACGGUCUCGAAAACCGUUAUGCCCGAAAGGGUAUCGUGGGUUCGAAUCCCACCCUCUCCGCCA